GUCAGGAUAGCUCAGUUGGUBGAGCAGAGG
rnacentral:tRNA from 1 species